rnacentral:rRNA from 1 species
CCUACGGGAGGCAGCAGUAGGGAAUUUUCGGCAAUGGGGGGAACCCUGACCGAGCAACGCCGCGUGAACGAGGAAGGCCUUCGGGCCGUAAAGUUCUGUUGCGAAGGAAGAACGCCGGAGGGAGGAAAUGGCCUCCGGGUGACGGUACUUCGCGAGAAAGCCACGGCUAACUACGUGCCAGCAGCCGCGGUAAUA